UCACUGGCUCACUGCUGAUCACUAUUUGGAAGACGCACCCCUGAUGAAGUCUAGUUCCUAGACGAAACGCGUUGGGUUACUGUAUUUCUUGUUGAUGUUAUCUCCGAAUAUUUAAUGAGGAAGAAUAAGGAUACAACAGAAAGGUUGCCUUCUUUCCUCCAUAUCCCAUUGAUGGAUUUCUAUAGGAGAAACUACAUCAUAAUGUACAUGUAAUAAUGAUGGAUAUACUUCAUGUUUCUGUAUAAUUGUUUUAAUAAAUUUUUAUGAAAAGUA